rnacentral:rRNA from 1 species
UACGUAGGGGGCAAGCGUUGUCCGGAAUCAUUGGGCGUAAAGAGCGCGUAGGCGGCCCUGUAAGUCCGCUGUGAAAGUCCAGGGCUCAACCCUGGGAUGCCGGUGGAUACUGUCGGGCUCGAGUCCGGAAGAGGCGAGUGGAAUUCCUGGUGUAGCGGUGAAAUGCGCAGAUAUCAGGAGGAACACCAAUGGCGAAGGCAGCUCGCUGGGACGUGACUGACGCUGAGACGCGAAAGCGUGGGGAGCAAACAGG